rnacentral:rRNA from 1 species
UACGAAGGGGGCUAGCGUUGCUCGGAAUCACUGGGCGUAAAGGGUGCGUAGGCGGGUCUUUUAAGUCAGGGGUGAAAUCCUGGAGCUCAACUCCAGAACUGCCUUUGAUACUGAAGAUCUUGAGUUCGGGAGAGGUGAGUGGAACUGCGAGUGUAGAGGUGAAAUUCGUAGAUAUCGAGAGGAACACCGGUGGCGAAGGCGGCCAACUGGACGAAUACUGACGCUGAGACUCGAAAGCGUGGGGAGCAAACAGG